GGUCAAGUUAUUAAGGGUGCAGGGCGGAUGCCUUGGCACUAGGAGCCGAUGAAGGACGUGAUAAGCUGCGAUAAGCUUCGGGGAGUUGCACGUAAACUUUGAUCCGAAGAUUUCCGAAUGAGGAAACUCACUUAGAGUAAUGUCUAAGUAUCAUUAAGUGAAUACAUAGCUUAAUGAGGGGAACUCAGGGAACUGAAACAUCUAAGUACCUGAAGGAAGAGAAAGAAAUUCGAUUCCGUAAGUAGCGGCGAGCGAACGCGGAUUAGCCCAAACCAAUAAAGUUUUCUUUAUUGGGGUUGCGGACAUAUCAUAACGAAGAGGUAUCGUAAUUGAAGAGGUUUGGAAAGACCCACCACAGAAGGUAAUAGUCCUGUAUGUUAAACGAGAAGACUUUAGAUAUGAUCCAGAGUACCACGGGACACGUGAAACCCUGUGGGAAGCAGGAGGGACCACCCUCCAAGGCUAAAUACUACCUAGUGACCGAUAGCGUAUAGUACCGUGAGGGAAAGGUGAAAAGAACCCCGGGAGGGGAGUGAAAUAGAACCUGAAACCCUGCACUUACAAGCUGUGGAAGCACAUUUCUUGUGUGACCGCGUACUUUUUGUAGAACGGGCCAACGAGUUACGUUAAGUAGCAAGGUUAAGCACUUAAGGUGUGGAGCCGUAGCGAAAGCGAGUUUUAACUGAGCGUUCAGUUACUUGACGUAGACCCGAAACCGGGCGACCUACCCAUGAGCAGGAUGAAGCGAAAGUAAAAUUUCGUGGAGGUCCGAACCCACGAGCG
rnacentral:rRNA from 1 species